rnacentral:rRNA from 1 species
GACGAACGCUGGCGGCGUGCCUAACACAUGCAAGUCGAACGGAGAGGACAUGAAGUAUUUCGGUACGGAAUGCUCUCUUAGUGGCGAACGGGUGAGUAACACGUGGGCAACCUGCCCCAGACUGGGGGAUAACAUUGUGAAAACAGUGCUAAUACCGCAUGACAGGGUUCCGGGCAUCCGGGACCCUUGAAAGGAGAAAUCCAGUCAGGGAUGGGCCCGCGUCCAAUUAGCUAGUUGGCGGGGUAACGGCCCACCAAGGCGACGAUUGGUAGCCGAACUGAGAGGUUGAUCGGCCACAUUGGGACUGAGACACGGCCCAGACUCCUACGGGAGGCAGCAGUGGGGAAUAUUGGGCAAUGGGCGAAAGCCUGACCCAGCGACGCCGCGUGAAGGAUGAAGGUCUUCGGAUUGUAAACUUCUUUGAUCAGGGAAGAAAGAAAUGACGGUACCUGAAAACAAGCCACGGCUAACUACGUG